rnacentral:rRNA from 1 species
AGAGUUUGAUCCUGGCUCAGGAUGAACGCUGGCGGCGUGCUUAACACAUGCAAGUCGAACGAAGCAGGAGGGUGCUUGCACCUUCCUGACUGAGUGGCGGACGGGUGAGUAACACGUGGAUAAUCUGCCCUGCACAGGGGGACAACAGCUAGAAAUGGCUGCUAAUACCGCAUAAGCCUACAGCCUCGCAUGAGGGAGUAGGAAAAGAAAUUCGGUGCAGGAUGAGUCCGCGUCUGAUUAGCUAGUUGGAGGGGUAAGAGCCCACCAAGGCAACGAUCAGUAGCCGGCCUGAGAGGGCGACCGGCCACAUUGGGACUGAGACACGGCCCAAACUCCUACGGGAGGCAGCAGUGGGGAAUAUUGCACAAUGGGGGAAACCCUGAUGCAGCGACGCCGCGUGAGCGAGGAAGUAUUUCGGUAUGUAAAGCUCUAUCAGCAGGGACGAAAAAAGACGGUACCUGACUAAGAAGCCCCGGCUAACUACGUG